GAUCGGCCCGCGUCUGAUUAGCUAGUUGGUGGGGUAACGGCCUACCAAGGCGACGAUCAGUAGCUGGUCUGAGAGGAUGAUCAGCCACACUGGGACUGAGACACGGCCCAGACUCCUACGGGAGGCAGCAGUGGGGAAUAUUGGACAAUGGGCGCAAGCCUGAUCCAGCCAUGCCGCGUGAGUGAUGAAGGCCUUAGGGUUGUAAAGCUCUUUUAUCCGGGACGAUAAUGACGGUACCGGAGGAAUAAGCCCCGGCUAACUUCGUGCCAGCAGCCGCGGUAAUACGAAGGGGGCUAGCGUUGCUCGGAAUCACUGGGCGUAAAGGGCGCGUAGGCGGCGUUUUAAGUCGGGGGUGAAAGCCUGUGGCUCAACCACAGAAUGGCCUUCGAUACUGGGACGCUUGAGUAUGGUAGAGGUUGGUGGAACUGC
rnacentral:rRNA from 1 species